rnacentral:sRNA from 19 species
ACCCUAAACCAAAUCUCUGUUUGGCAUGGUUUAUAAAUCCACAAAGAGAAACAGCUCGUCACGGGUACUUCUUUUUGUGUUCGCGUGGGGAAACCCGCGCGGGUGGUCGCAAGGCUGCC